UUGGAGGCAGAUGGCCGAUAAUUACUGAAACAAUUCUGAUUUUGUACAAAAAAAAUUCUCAACGAGGUUAGUUAAUGGUUAUCAUGAUUGCAACAUGGCCAAUUCCUUUCAUCU
rnacentral:miRNA from 1 species